rnacentral:rRNA from 1 species
UACAGAGGGUGCAAGCGUUAAUCGGAAUUACUGGGCGUAAAGCGCACGUAGGCGGCUUGGUAUGUCGGGGGUGAAAUCCCCGGGCUCAACCUGGGAACUGCAUCCGAAACUGCCUUGCUGGAGUAUGGGAGAGGGAAGCGGAAUUUCCGGUGUAGCGGUGAAAUGCGUAGAUAUCGGAAGGAACAUCAGUGGCGAAGGCGGCUUCCUGGACCAAUACUGACGCUCAGGUGCGAAAGCGUGGGGAGCAAACAGG